rnacentral:rRNA from 1 species
UGAGCGGAGAUUAUGGAGCUUGCUUUAUAUAACUUAGCAGCGAACGGGUGAGUAACACGUAGAUAAUCUAUCCUAUACUGGGGGAUAGCCCGAUGAAAGUUGGAUUAAUACCGCAUAUAGCUAUAUAGUUGCAUGAUUAUGUAGUGAAAGAUUUAUUGGUAUAGGAGGAGUCUGCGGCACAUUAGCUAGUAGGUGAGGUAAAGGCUUACCUAGGCGACGAUGUGUAGCCGGUCUGAGAGGAUGAACGGCCACAAUGGAACUGAGACACGGUCCAUACUCCUACGGGAGGCAGCAGUGGGGAAUAUUGCACAAUGGGGGAAACCCUGAUGCAGCAACGCCGCGUGAGUGAAGAAGGUUUUCGGAUUGUAAAGCUCUGUUAGCAGGGAAGAGGAAGGACGGUACCUGCAGAGGAAGCCACGGCUAACUACGUGCCAGCAGCCGCGGUAAUACGUAGGUGGCAAGCGUUGUUCGGAAUAACUGGGCGUAAAGGAUGCGUAGGCGGUUAAACAAGUUAUAUGUUAAAUAUAUAGGCUUAACCUGUAGAAAGCAUAUAAAACUGUUUAACUAGAGUGCAGGAGAGGUAAGUGGAAUUCCUAGUGUAGCGGUGAAAUGCGUAGAGAUUAGGAAGAACACCAGUGGCGAAAGCGACUUACUGGACUGUAACUGACGCUGAGGCAUGAGAGCAUGGGGAGCAAACAGGAUUAGAUACCCUGGUAGUCCAUGCUGUAAACGAUGGGUACUAGGUGUGGGUUGUGAAUA